ACAGGCGUUUGAGCUUACGGGUCCAGCCGCGUCCAGGCAGGAGGGAAGACGUAGAGGGGCACGCGUCUGCCGCAGGAAACACGGGGUCCAGAGUCCCACUUACGAGUGAGGCGUUCCCACGAGUUAGUCUGUGGCUUUGGGGAACGCUCUUUCCUGGGCCUCAGUUUCCCCAUCUGUAAAACCGGAGUAAAUCGCGCAGAGUUGGGAUGGGAAUUAAACGAGGUCCCGCGCGCUCCGAGGGCGAGAAAGACCGGCGGCUCCCUUCGCGCCGAGGGCAGGACGGCGGCGGCCGCAUCACCGGGCAGUCUCCCGACUCGCCAGGUGUGGGCUCAGCCCUCCGCUCCCUGCCUUCCUCCCCUCCUUCCUCCCCGAAGUAGGCUGGGGGCGAGGAGCGACGGGCUCUGCCAGGCACUGGCGCCUCCCGCGCGGGCGCCCCGGGUGUCCGCCCCGCGCUCCGCUGGCACCCGGAGGUGCCCGGCGCUCCUGGAGCUGGGCGCGGCGCGGCGCGGUCCUCGUGACCCGGCAGACGCCUCCGGGACCUCGCCCCUCCCUCCUGGCUGUGCGCCCUGCGCCCUGUCUGGCCCGUAUUUGCCCUCCUGGCCUCAACGCACCGCGACCCGACGCCCGGCCCGUCGCCUUGCUCUCCCUAGCAGGACUGCAGAGAGCAACCCCGGGGUCCGGGCCAGGGCAGACACGCCCCCGGAAAGGAGUCGGUGUGACCCCGACGAGAAGCAGAGAUGGGGAAAAAACUGGAUCUUUCCACGCUCACGGAUGAAGAGGCCAAGCACGUCUGGGAAGUGGUUCAACGGGACUUUGACCUUCGAAGGAAAGAAGAGGAGAGACUAGAGGGUUUGAAAGGCAAGAUUAAGAAGGAAAACUCCAAGAGGGAGCUGCUUUCGGACACGGCCCACCUGAGUAGCACCCACUGCGCCCGCUGCCUGCAGCCCUACCGGCUCCUCGAGACCCCCAAGAGGCAAUGCCUGGACUGCGGCCUCUUCACCUGCAAAGGCUGCGGCCACAACCCGGAGGAGCAGGGCUGGCUCUGCGACCCCUGCCACCUGGCCAGGCUGGUGAAGAGGGGCUCCCUGGAGUGGUACUACAGGCAUGUGAGAGCCCGCUUCCAGCACUCCGGGGGGGCCCAGGUAGCGCGGUCCCUCUGCGGGAGGCUGCAGGGAGCAGGUUUACCUGACCAAGUGCUGAGCUCACCUGACGUCAACAGUGGGCCUGAGCCAGGCCCCGGAGGGAGAAGUGGAGACAGCAAGCACACGGAUGAGGACAGAGAACAGGACACAGGGGCCCAGGCCCAGCCCGUUGGAAGCAAAAAAAAGCGCGUCCUCCCCAUUCACGGCUUGGACUUCGAGGCAGACUCUGACGACUCCACUCCGUCCUGCGGGCACCCCUCAAGCCUGUCCUUGGUCUCUGUGGCCGCGGACAACCCGCAGGCCCUCACAGAUGAGCCCUGCACAGAGACCACCUCCCAGGAGCCCGUGGUCCUGGAUGAGGCUGACGCCAGGGCCUCUGGGUGCCACCCCUGUCCAGAAGGGCAGAUGGCCAGCCUCUCGCCUGCCGGACCAGACGCCCUUGCUAAGCUCUGCCUGCCGGGAGAGUCUUGCAUGACAGCCCCGGGGACCACUGCAACACCUGGAACAAAUGUCCUCUGGAAUGAGCAGCUCCCAUCCCACUAUCUGGCCGACGUGGACACCUCAGAUGAAGAAAGCAUCUGGGCUCAGCGGGUGGCCUCUCACCAUCCCAGACGGAGAAGCCAGACCUUGUCUGAGAAGCAGCGCUUCCACGUGACCGACCGGCUGAGAUCAGCCACUCGUCCAUCUCAGUGUCCAGUUGGCAGCAAGCCCACAGGUGCCGACAUGGAAGAGGCGGCCCUAAAGAGAAGACUGGAGGCCUUGAUCAGCCGCACCGGUGACCAGCGGGCCUCAUCCGAGGAGGAGGGCAAGGACGGAGGGGCAGAGCAGGGCAGCAGCGCCCCCAUCGAGGACCCCCCCAGGGCCGCCCCGGAGGUGUGCACGGCUGCAGGCCAAACGCCCAGCAGGACCACAGACGAGGAGCUGUCGCAGCUGGAGGACAGAGUGGCCGCCACGGCCUCUCAGGUGCAGCGGACAGAGAGCGAGGUUUCAGAUAUCGAGUACAGGAUUGCAGCCUUGCAGGCUGCAGGGCUCACUGUGAGGACCUCGGCAAAGCCCCGGAAGAAAUCCAGCCUCCCGAUAUUUCUUCCCCAGCUUGUUGGGAAGUUGGGCCAGAGUCCUAAGGAUCUGAAUGCAGACCCUUCGGAUGAGGUCAAGGUGGUGGCUGCACCCUAUCUUGUGAGGAGAAAGCUCAGUGAUUACCCCAGAAGUCAAGACAAAGAUGAUGACUCCUUCGAUCGGAAGUCCGUGUCCCGCGGAUCCCUGACACAGAGAAACCCCAGUGGCAAGAAGGGAACCGCCAGCCACAGCAUUGCACCGGUGAGGGCCGGUGUCAUUGACCCAUAGCUGGGGAAACAGGCAGAAAGAGAUUGAGUAAGAAAAACCUGGCAGGGGGUUGACUGAUGCCUCCUGACCAGCAAGCCCACAAGCCCGUGAUGACCCACCAGCCCUUAAACGGGAGGUUCGUCUGAACGGGACAGAGCAGGAGUGGCGCCGGUCCUUUCCCUCCACCUCGGCCUCCGUGUCCCUCCACCUGCCCCGCGUUUUCCAAUGCACGCAGCCCAGUGGAGGAACGAGAAGAAACCCCAUCCGUGAGCUGACAGCGGUUCUCAUGAGGCCCGUCAGCUCUUCACCCACGUUCUUUGAUGACCUCCAAGGCCGCCCCUGCCCACCUGAUCUGAUCCGUGAGAAACAUCUAAGCUGACGCGUCUUUCCUUUAGGGUUUAAGCUUUCUGAAGGACACAAAGAAGCUCUUGUUCAGUGAUCUUCUACCCCUUUCACUGCUGGCUUUCUUAUGCUGCUUUCAUGACCAGAAUGGAAAAGGGGUGACUCAGUGACCGCACCAGCCAUCUGUACACUCCUGACUGUGUCUGUCGGAGCCAGGGCAGGUGUGUGGGUGCUACUGGACGUCAGGACAAGUCACUGAGCUCAUGUCCAUCUGAAUAAGAGGGAGGGAUAGACCCCCGCAUCUCCUCACACAAACAGACCUAGUCUGCAAGUUCCCAGCCUGUGCUUCACAGGCUGGGAGAAGGGACACCGUGGUCGAGGACAGAGCAUGCCAGCGGCAGCAAGUGAGCACUUGCUCAAAGCCCGGGUGCAGGUGCAGACCGCCUGCCGGGAGGCACUGGCGGAGUCUGGACGGGCGGGGCCCAGCCUGGCACUGCCACUCGCUGCGGUGGAAUCCAGGAGGCCACUUGCCGUCGGUCUGCAGAGGAUCUCCAAGUCCUGCUCAGCCUCGGACAGUCUGGGUGUCUGUGUGGCUCAUCCAGCUUGAAGGGGAGCCCGCUGGGACCCCCUCCACAGCUGCCUUGAGCACAGUAACCCUGUCUCCCCUCGCUGAGCACGGCUGUGUGCUUCAGAGGGACUGGCUUAUUGAGUCCUCAGAACAGCGCAUUUUGCAGAGGAGGGAACAGAGCCCCGAGUGUGAGGCAGCCUCCCCUGUGAUCCUCUGAUACGUUCCAGAGGGGCUGGGUCAGCUUUAAGUUUGCUCUCUCAAGUGGUUUGGUGUCUGUGUUCUGUGGUAACUGAAAGAAGAGGUGAAUAAAUGAUGCCCAAGAGGCUUUGAUACGAAGACUGACUGUGGACACAGCCCCACCUAUGGUUUACAGACUCUGCAUCACGAGCUCCAUUCGCGUUUCCACUGAGCCUAUAGCAUCACGGUCACCACAGAGACCGUGUCAUCGACGGGCUGGCCCAUGGCAGCUCCAGUGCGCUUUUCAGAAUCAGCAUCUGAGUUGAUCUGAAUGACUAGGCUUCAGGUUGUGCUGGGAUUUGCAGAAAAGAUGGCUCCGAAACUCCCUCUCAGAAUGAAAGCUGCUUGAAAUAGUCAGCUCCUAAUUCAACGCUGAAAAUGAUUAAAGGAUUCCAGUAAGCCAAAGAGGAUCAAUCCUUGUUUCCGUACACCCCUCCUUAUUCACAGAGUAAACUAAAGUCAGUGUGAGUUCCUAGCGUCAAGGAAGAAGCAGUCCCGGCUGGCCUGCAGCACAGCCCUGGGUGUGAUGCAACAGGCACGUGAGGCCUUGUGCCCCAGAACCUUAGUGGCCACUUAGCUCCGUUGCUAACUUGAGUUCAGAGAGCUUCCAACCUGGAAGCACAUUUGUCCCUCCUUCAGAAGGCCUCUCGCUGGGGUCUCCGAUUAGGGUCAGGGCUACACUCACUCUUUCAUUCUCUCGGCAGCACUGCAGAGGCCCCGGACGGUGUGCAUGGCCCAGGCACCUGCACCCAUCUUGUGGGCAGCGGCCGCGGUGCCGAGGAUGUGAAUUCUCCCAGCUCCUGCGCUGGUUCCUCAGCCCCUCUCGGCCCCUUGAUGUCGAAUCUCCUUUCCAUCCCCAUCAGGUCCCACGGCUUUAGGCACCUGUGGCUGGAUUGCAGUCCAGACCCCCCGAGGUCCCCACCACAGACCAGCUGCCUCUUCCUCUGGCAUCUCAAAGUCAGCCCAUCCUACUGAACUCCCAUCUUACCCCCAAACCCUGCUGCAUCCACUCAGGUCAACUCCGUGCUCCCAGGGGCUCCGGCCAAGGCUUUACCCUCUCUUUAACCUCACAUUCUGUCGGGAAAAGCUGGCGACUCUGACUUCUGCGUAUGCCCCAACCCUUCCGUCCCAUCAGCGGCUGUGUCCCUUAUUUGGGGUAUAUUUUUAUGCCAAAUGUCCGCUCGGUUAUUUCCAGGAUGUCAGACCUGGCUUCACAUGCCUCGUACCCCCUGU